AUUUGUAAUGAAUGCUUUGAAAGCUAAGGAGUUCUAUCGGCGAGACGUUCAAUACAUUGUUAGAAAUGGGAAAGCGCUCAUAAUUAAUGAGUUGACAGGAAGAGUUGAAGAAAAAAGAAGAUGGUCCGAAGGAAUUCACCAGGCUGUAGAGGCUAAAGAGGGUCUGAAGAUUCAGGCUGAUUCAGUUGUUGUGGCACAAAUCACAUACCAAUCGCUGUUUAAGCUCUAUCCGAAGCUGUCUGGAAUGACUGGGACAGCAAAAACUGAAGAAAAAGAAUUUUUGAAAAUGUUCCAGAUGCCAGUUAUUGAUGUGCCCACAAAUUUACCAAAUAUUCGUAAAGAUUUACCCAUUCAAGCUUUUGCGACUGCUCGUGGGAAAUGGGAGCAUGUCCGUCAAGAAAUUGAAUACAUGUUUAGACAGGGCCGCCCAGUUUUAGUGGGGACCACCAGCGUUGAGAAUUCCGAAUAUCUGUCAGAUCUGCUGAAGCAGUGGAAAAUCCCUCACAAUGUCCUUAAUGCACGACCCAAGUAUGCUGCAAAGGAAGCUGAAAUUAUUGCCCAAGCAGGACGAAAAUAUGCCAUUACUAUUUCUACAAAUAUGGCUGGCCGAGGCACUGAUAUAAUUCUGGGAGGAAACCCAAAGAUGCUUGCCAAAGAAAUUGUAGAGGACAGGUUGCUUUCUCAUCUAACACGAGAAACUCCUGAUGUUGAAGUUGAUGGCGAGACAAUGUCUCGGAAGGUAAUGUCAAACAUAAAGGUUGGAUUAACAUCAUUGGCUCUGCUAGGGAGGAGUGCACUGAUGGCUAAAUAUGUUGGCAAAAGCGAGGGUAAGAAUUGGACAUAUCAGGAGGCAAAAUCAAUGAUAUCAGAGUCUGUGGAAAUGAGCCAAUCAAUGGAUGUGAAGGAGCUGCAGAUGCUUGCUAAUGAACAGUCUGAAUUCUACCCUCUUGGCCCAACAAUUGCACUUGCUUAUUUAUCGGUUCUGAAGGAUUGUGAAAUGCACUGUCUCUGUGAAGGGUCUGAAGUGAAAAGGCUUGGGGGGCUCCACGUGACUGGGACAUCAUUACACGAAUCUAGGAGAAUAGAUAACCAGCUUCGUGGAAGAGCAGGAAGGCAAGGGGAUCCUGGAUCUACACGAUUUAUGGUUAGUUUGCAGGAUGAGAUGUUUCAAAAGUUUAAUUUUGAUACUGAGUGGGCAGUUAGACUUAUCUCAAGGAUAACUAAUGAUGAGGAUAUACCAAUUGAAGGUGAUGCAAUUGUAAAACAGCUUUUAGCUCUGCAAAUCAAUGCAGAAAAGUACUUCUUUGGCAUAAGAAAGAGCCUGGUUGACUUCGAUGAAGUAUUAGAGGUACAAAGAAAACAUGUCUACAACCUCAGGCAGUUAAUUUUAACAGGUGACAGUGAAAGUUGUGCACAACACAUAUCCCAGUACAUGCAAGCGGUAGUAGAUGAGCUUGUCUUGGGCAAUGCUGAUCCCCUGAAGCAUCCACGGAGCUGGAAUUUGGAUAAGCUCUUGAAGGAGUUCAUUACUAUUGGGGGGGAGCUAUUGGAUGACUCAUUUGCAGGGAUCACCAAGGAAGCCUUGCUAAAGUCUCUUCUACAACUUCAUGGCUCAAGCUAUAUAGAUAUUUAUGACUUUUACCUUCCAAACUUGCCAAAGCCUCCAAAUGCUUUUCGAGGAAUUCGCAGAAAGUGUUAUUCAUUAAAGCAUUGGCUUACUAUUUGUUCUGAUGAAUUGACUGAGAAUGGUGAACACCGGGCAACUACCAAUCUUCUUCGCAAAUACCUUGGAGAUUUCCUAAUAGCUACGUAUUGGAACAUUGUACAAGAAUCUGGUUAUGAUGAUGCAUAUAUCAAGGAAAUUGAGAGGGCAGUUCUUCUGAAGACUCUUGACUGUUUCUGGAGAGAUCAUCUUAUAAAUAUGAACAGGCUUAGUUCAGCGGUAAAUGUUAGAAGUUUUGGACACAGAAAUCCUCUUGAAGAAUACAAAAUCGACGGAUGUCGAUUUUUUAUUUCAAUGCUUAGCGCCACUCGGAGACUAACUGUUGAAACCCUCUUCCAGUAUUGGUCGUCCCCAAUGGAGUCCCAGGAACUCUUUGUAUGAUAAAUGCAUAUUGCUCGUCGUAUGUAAGGAAGAUAAAUAAUAUUGGAGGUUCCUGAGAAUUCCAUUUCUCUGGAGGAUUAACUUCUGUAAACCAAUGCUAAUCUUCCAAGUGACCAAUUCAAAAACAACUUUCAUCCGAUAGUAUGCUCAAGGAAUGCUUAAUGUUUGGCAUUGAAGAGGUUUGUACGACGGAUGUGGUAAGAACUAAGAAAUGCACCUCAUUGAUGGGGUGACUAAGGACAGUCUGAUGAACCCUUGGCUUGUCUUUUUUAUUGGAAAAGUCAUGCGUUACAGAAGCUGCAUCAGGGCAGUGACCUUACAGCCAAAUGACUUAAAAUCAGUAAGAGAUCGCUGAUGAUGAGCGUACGAUGGUCAAGAGUAAUGUUGGGACAGACUUGAGUAUAGAAUUUUGAACCACAUAGCUGCCUCAUUUUUCUCUCUGGUGUUGUGUAAUAGUUAAUGUCAUAAUCUAUUCCAGGGAACUGCAUGUUUUUUUUU